CGGCGUGCCUAAUACAUGCAAGUCGAACGGUCUUUCUAUGGAAGCUUGCUUCCACUGAGAAGAUAGUGGCGAACGGGUGAGUAACACGUGGGUAACCGUAGCCCAUAAGAGGGGGAGUAACAUCCGGAAACGGGUGCUAAUACCGCAUAGUUUUCUUGAUCGCAUGAUUGAGAAAGGAAAGACGGCCUUUGUGCUGUCGCUUAUGGAUGGACCCGCGGCGUAUUAGUUAGUUGGUGAGGUAACGGCUCACCAAGACGAUGAUACGUAGCCGACCUGAGAGGGUGAUCGGCCACAUUGGGACUGAGACACGGCCCAAACUCCUACGGGAGGCAGCAGUAGGGAAUCUUCCGCAAUGGACGAAAGUCUGACGGAGCAACGCCGCGUGAGUGAAGAAAAGGGUUUUCGGAUCGUAAAACUCUGUUGUCAGAGAAGAACAAGUUGGAGAGUAACUGCUCCAGCCUUGACGGUAUCUGACCAGAAAGCCACGGCUAACUACGUGCCAGCCGCAGC
rnacentral:rRNA from 1 species